GGAUUAGAUACCCUGGUAGUCCUAGCUGUAAACGAUGGAUACUAGACGUAGGAACUGGAUUGACGGUUUCUGUGUCGUAGCUAACGCGUUAAGUAUCCCGCCUGGGGAGUACGGUCGCAAGACUAAAACUCAAAGGAAUUGACGGGACCCCGCACAAGUAGUGGAGCAUGUGGUUUAAUUCGAAGAUACGCGCAGAACCUUACCAACACUUGACAUGUUCGUCGCGACUUUAAGAGAUUAAAGUUUUCGGUUCGGCCGGACGAAACACAGGUGCUGCAUGGCUGUCGUCAGCUCGUGCCG
rnacentral:rRNA from 1 species